CACCCGCCUGGGUCUCAGCCCUCCUCCUGCUCACUCUUCUGGGCUGAUAUCCAGGACUGGGGUGAAAGGCCAGGGUUUCUGGCCCCUUCCGGAGGUGAAGCCCCUUUUCAGGACCAGGAGCAAAGGAAGCCAGAACAAUGCUAUUCAUGGAAAGAUUGGGGAGAGGGAAAGAAGUUUCUUGGCGCAGAUAAGGCUGGAGAAGGUCAAAGAUGAGGAAUGUUCUGUGAUUUCUAAGACAGCCACUCAUUUAUUUCAGAAACACUUGCUCUAAGCCUGAGUCCGGUGAACCUCCGUUUUGUCAUCUGAAGAAUGUUUUGUCAUGAGGGACAGGAGAUGCUACUAUGUGACAAUGUCAAGCACAUCGAGGAUGCUUUGGAAAUAUAGGAUGAAUCGGAAGGCUGCCUCUUAUCCUGGUUUUUGGCUCAGAGCCCAGAAGGAAGGCUCCUUCAAUAAUUCUGAGCUUAGGACAUCUGCCUUUCCCUCAAAGUAAGUGAAUAAAUAUGAAUCUGUUUCUAGUCAGAGCAAAAAUGCUGUUCACCACCUAGUGGCCUGCAAAGAUCACAUCUGCUGCUAAGUUAUACCAGCCUCUGGGUCUAACCCUUCCAGGCCC